GAAGAUUCGAUGGACAUGGACAUGAGCCCCCUGAGGCCCCAGAGCUAUCUUUUUGGUUGCGAACUAAAGGCCAACAAAGAUGAUCACUUUAAGGUGGAUAAUGAUGAAAAUGAGACCAGUUAUCUUUAGGAACAGUCAGUUUAGGAGCUGGUGCAAAGGAUGAACUGCACAUUGUUGAAGCAGAAACAAUGAAUUAUGAAGACAGUCCAAUUAAAGUAAGACUGACAACUUUGAAAAUGUCUGUACAGUCAACGGUUUCCCUUGGGGACUUUGAAAUAACACCACCAGUGGUCUUAUGGUUGAAGCUUGGUUCGGGGCCAGUGCAUAUUAGUGGACAGCACUUAGUAGCUGUGGAGGAAGCUGCAGAAUCAGAAGACGAAGAGAAGGAGGAUGUGAAACUCUUAAGUAUAUCUGGAAAGUGAUGCCCCUGGAGGUGGUAGCAAGGUUCCACAGAAACAAGUAAAACUUGCCGCUGAUGAAGAAGAAUAAGAAGGAGAAGGAGAAGAAGGAAGAAGAAGAUUUUGAUGAUGAGGAUAUUGAAGAAAAAGCACCGGUGAAGAAAUCUAUAAAGAUGCUCCAGCCGAAAAUGCACAGAAGUCAAAUCAGAAUGGAAAAGACUCAAAACCGUCAACACCAAGAUCAAAAGGACAAGAAACCUUCAAGAAACAGGAAAAAAAAAAACCUCCUAAAACACCAAAAGGGCCUAGUUCUGUAGAAGACAUUAAAGCAAAAAUGCAAACAAGUAUAGAAAAAGCUGGUUUGUUUCCCAAAAUGGAAGCCAAGUUCGUCAAUUAUGUAAAGAAUUGUCUCUGGAUGAAUGACCAGGAGGCUAUUCAAGAUCUCUGGCAGUGGAGGAAGUCUC
rnacentral:lncRNA from 1 species